GCACAAGCAGUGGAGUAUGUGGUUUAAUUCGAAGCAACGCGAAGAACCUUACCAGGGCUUGACAUCCCUUGAAGCAGCUAGAGAUAGCUGUGUCCUUCGGGACAAGGAGACAGGUGGUGCAUGGUUGUCAUCAGCUCGUGUCGUGAGAUGUUGGGUUAAGUCCCGCAACGAGCGCAACCCCUGUGGUUAGUUGCCAGCAAGUAGCGUUGGGCACUCUAGCCAGACCGCCGGUGAUAAACCGGAGGAAGGCGGGGAUGACGUCAAGUCCUCAUGGCCCUUACAUCCCGGGCUACACACGUGCUACAAUGGCAGGUACAGAGGGCUGCGAAGCCGCGAGGUGGAGCGAAUCCCAGAAAACCUGUCUCAGUCCGGAUUGAAGUCUGCAACUCGACUUCAUGAAGGCGGAAUCGCUAGUAACCGCGAAUCAGCAGGUCGCGGUGAAUACGUUCCCGGGCCUU
rnacentral:rRNA from 1 species